GGGAAUGUAGCUCAGUGGCACAGCACCUGCCUGGCAUGCUUGAGGCCCUGAGUUCGAUUCUCAGUACCA
rnacentral:tRNA from 1 species